rnacentral:rRNA from 1 species
GUGAGGAAUAUUGCGCAAUGGAGGCAACUCUGACGCAGCCAUGCCGCGUGCAGGAAGAAGGCGCUACGCGUUGUAAACUGCUUUUAACCGGGAAGAAACCCCAGGACGUGUCCUGGGUUGACGGUACCGGAGGAAUAAGCACCGGCUAACUUCGUGCCAGCAGCCGCGGUAAUACGAAGGGUGCAAGCGUUAUCCGGAUUCAUUGGGUUUAAAGGGUGCGUAGGCGGAGCGUUAAGUCAGUGGUGAAAUCCUGCAGCUUAACUGUAGACUUGCCAUUGAUACUGGCGCGCUUGAGUGCGCUUGAAGUGGGCGGAAUGUGCCGUGUAGCGGUGAAAUGCUUAGAUAUGGCACAGAACACCAAUUGCGAAGGCAGCUCACUAAGGCGAUACUGACGCUGAGGCACGAAAGCGUGGGGAUCGAACAGGAUUAGAAACCCUGGUAGUCC